rnacentral:ncRNA from 2 species
UUACUGCUUCGGGACUAGGUGGAAUUCCUAACCGGCGGUAUUAUCUUUAGCUUGGAGUUUCAGUAGCUUGAAGAUUCAGUCCGCGAGCCUAUAAUGGUUGAUUUGGUGAGAUUCCAAAACCGACAGUAAAGUCUGGAGGGGAGAAGACAUCU